AUUUUAUUGAGAGUUUGAUCCUGGCUCAGGAUUAACGCUGGCGGCAUGCCUAAUACAUGCAAGUCGAACGAAAGUAGCAAUACUUUAGUGGCGAACGGGUGAGUAA
rnacentral:rRNA from 1 species